UACGAAGGGGGCUAGCGUUGCUCGGAAUCACUGGGCGUAAAGAGCUCGUAGGCGGUCUGUCGCGUCGAUCGUGAAAACUUGGGGCUUAACCCUGAGCUUGCGGUCGAUACGGGCAUGACUGGAGUUCGGCAGGGGAGACUGGAAUUCCUGGUGUAGCGGUGAAAUGCGCAGAUAUCAGGAGGAACACCGGUGGCGAAGGCGGGUCUCUGGGCCGAUACUGACGCUGAGGAGCGAAAGCGUGGGGAGCGAACAGG
rnacentral:rRNA from 1 species